UACGAAGGUGGCAAGCGUUGUUCGGAUUUACUGGGCGUACAGGGAGCGUAGGCGGUUGGAUAAGCCCUCCGUGAAAUCUCCAGGCUUAACCUGGAAAGUGCAGAGGGGACUGUUCAGCUAGAGUAUGGGAGAGGUAAGCGGAAUUCCUGGUGUAGCGGUGAAAUGCGUAGAUAUCAGGAGGAACACCUGUGGUGUAGACAGCUUACUGGACCAUCACUGACGCUGAGACACGAAAGCGUGGGUAGCAAACAGG
rnacentral:rRNA from 1 species